rfam:Candidatus Nomurabacteria bacterium CG1_02_47_685 cg1_0.2_scaffold_5015_c, whole genome shotgun sequence.
GGGGAUGAUCGGCCUAGACGGAGAAUUGGCUGUGAUGCGUGCGAAGCCGAGGACGCCACCUGCUCGUAAAAACGCUGGCAAACAAUAAGUGCAAAAAAUACACUUACCAAGGCAAAGGCAAUGGUUAGCCCAUACUUUGCUCCCGCUCUCGCAAUCGCGUAAGCAGGCGUCCGUUCGUAUCGCCGUCCGAUAGAUGCGAAUGGGUGUAAUAUACUUCGGGCUGGAGAACGCGACAUCCUCGACGCGAUCUCAAGAUACAGAGGAUCGAAACGAUGAGAUUUUGAUUGUUCCUCACUCAUCAUUUCUAAACCAAAAAACAAUCUACGCUUCGUAGAAACGCAUCAUUCCACUCUCCGCACGGGGGUUCGAUUCCCCCCAUCUCCACCA